rnacentral:rRNA from 1 species
UACGGAGGGGGCUAGCGUUGUUCGGAAUUACUGGGCGUAAAGCGCGCGUAGGCGGACCUGCAAGUCGGGGGGGAAAGCCCGAGGCUCAACCUCGGAACUGCCUUCGAUACUGCGGGUCUCGAGUCCGGGAGAGGUGAGUUGAAUUCCUAGUGUAGAGGUGAAAUUCGUAGAUAUUAGGAAGAACACCAGUGGCGAAGGCGGCUCACUGGCCCGGUACUGACGCUGAGGCGCGAAAGCGUGGGGAGCAAACAGG